rnacentral:rRNA from 1 species
UACGUAGGGCGCGAGCGUUAUCCGGAAUUAUUGGGCGUAAAGAGCUCGUAGGCGGUUUGUCACGUCUGCUGUGAAAACUGGAGGCUCAACCUCCAGCCUGCAGUGGGUACGGGCAGACUAGAGUGCGGUAGGGGAGACUGGAAUUCCUGGUGUAGCGGUGAAAUGCGCAGAUAUCAGGAGGAACACCGAUGGCGAAGGCAGGUCUCUGGGCAUUAACUGACGCUGAGGAGCGAAAGCAUGGGGAGCGAACAGG